CCUACGGGUGGCAGCAGUGGGGAAUAUUGGGCAAUGGGCGCAAGCCUGACCCAGCAACGCCGCGUGAAGGAAGAAGGCUUUCGGGUUGUAAACUUCUUUUAAGAGGGAAGAGCAGAAGACGGUACCUCUUGAAUAAGCCACGGCUAACUACGUGCCAGCAGCCGCGGUAAUACGUAGGUGGCAAGCGUUGUCCGGAUUUACUGGGAGUAAAGGGCGUGUAGCCGGGCUGACAAGUCAGAUGUGAAAUUCCCGGGCUCAACCCCGGACCUGCAUUUGAAACCGUUGGUCUUGAGUAUCGGAGAGGCAGGCGGAAUUCCUGGUGUAGCGGUGAAAGGCGUAGAUAUUAGGAGGAACACCAGUGGCGAAGGCGGCCUGCUGGACAACAACUGACGGUGAGGCGCGAAAGCGUGGGGAGCAAACAGGAUUAGAUACCCUAGUAGUC
rnacentral:rRNA from 1 species